CGGACGGGUGAGUAACACGUGGAUAACCUACCUAUAGACUGGGAUAACUUCGGGAAACCGGAGCUAAUACCGGAUAAUAUUUUGAACCGCAUGGUUCAAAAGUGAAAGACGGUCUUGCUGUCACUUAUAGAUGGAUCCGCGCUGCAUUAGCUAGUUGGUAAGGUAACGGCUUACCAAGGCAACGAUGCAUAGCCGACCUGAGAGGGUGAUCGGCCACACUGGAACUGAGACACGGUCCAG
rnacentral:rRNA from 1 species